CACUCCUGCGGGAGGCAGCAGUGGGGAAUAUUGCACAAUGGGCGCAAGCCUGAUGCAGCGACGCCGCGUGGGGGAUGAAGGCCUUCGGGUUGUAAACUCCUUUCGCUAGGGACGAAGCUUUUUUGUGACGGUACCUAGAUAAGAAGCACCGGCUAACUACGUGCCAGCAGCCGCGGUAAUACGUAGGGUGCGAGCGUUGUCCGGAAUUACUGGGCGUAAAGGGCUCGUAGGUGGUUUGUCGCGUCGUCUGUGAAAUUCUGGGGCUUAACUCCGGGCGUGCAGGCGAUACGGGCAUAACUUGAGUGCUGUAGGGGUAACUGGAAUUCCUGGUGUAGCGGUGAAAUGCGCAGAUAUCAGGAGGAACACCGAUGGCGAAGGCAGGUUACUGGGCAGUUACUGACGCUGAGGAGCGAAAGCAUGGGUAGCGAACAGGAUUAGAUACCCCAGUAGUCCCA
rnacentral:rRNA from 1 species